GACGGACGCUGGCGGCGUGCUUAACACAUGCAAGUCGAACGAUGAAGCGCUGUCUUUUUGGUGGUGUGGAUUAGUGGCGAACGGGUGAGUAAUACGCGGGCAACCUGCCCCUCUGCUUCGGGAUAAGCUUUGGAAACGGGGUCUAAUACCGGAUGUGCCUGUCUGGUCGCAUGGCUGGGCGGGGAAAGAUGUUUUUCGGCGGGGGAUGGGCUCGCGGCCUAUCAGCUUGUUGGUGGGGUGACGGCCUACCAAGGCGUCGACGGGUAGCCGGCCUGAGAGGGUGGUCGGCCACACUAGGACUGAGAUACGGCCCAGACUCCUACGGGAGGCAGCAGUGGGGGAUAUUGCACAAUGGGCGCAAGCCUGAUGCAGCGACGCCGCGUGGGGGAUGGAGGCUUUCGGGUUGUAAACCCCUUUCGGCGCGGGACAAGGCUCCGUUUGGCGGGGUUGAGGGUACGCGUCAAAGAAGCGCCGGCUAACUACGUGCCAGCAGCCGCGGUAAUACGUAGGGCGCGAGCGUUGUCCGGAAUUAUUGGGCGUAAAGGGCUCGUAGGCGGCUUGUCUCGUCUGCUGUGAAAACGCGGGGCUCAACUCCGCGCGUGCAGUGGGUACCGGCAGGCUGGAGUGCGGCGGGGGUGGCUGGAGUUUCCUGGGGUAGCGCGGGGAAAGCGCAGAUAUCUGGAAGAACACCCCUGGGGAAGGCAGGGCCACUGGGCCGUCUCUGAGACUCAUGAGCGCAAACGUGGUGGAGGUAACAGGAUGAUAAACCCUGGUGGUCUACGAGGGAUUUCUCACGGGGGGCAGCCCGCCGGGGGGACUAGUUCUAUACGGGCGCCGGCCGGGGCUCCAUCUAUUCGUCUCUAUAUUGAUAUAUAUUCUUCUUU
rnacentral:rRNA from 1 species